GACGAACGCUGGCGGCGUGCUUAACACAUGCAAGUCGAGCGGUAAGGCCCUUUCGGGGGUACGACGAGCGGCGAACGGGUGAGUAACACGUGGGUGACCUGCCCUCAGCUCUGGGAUAAGCCUGGGAAACCGGGUCUAAUACUGGAUAUGACUCCAUGACGCAUGUUGUGGGGUGGAAAGCCUUGUGCGGCUGAGGAUGGGCCCGCGGCCUAUCAGCUUGUUGGUGGGGUGANGGCCUACCAAGGCGACGACGGGUAGCCGGCCUGAGAGGGCGACCGGCCACACUGGGACUGAGACACGGCCCAGACUCCUACGGGAGGCAGCAGUGGGGAAUCUUGCGCAAUGGGCGAAA
rnacentral:rRNA from 1 species